GACGAACGCUGGCGGCGUGCUUAACACAUGCAAGUCGAACGGAAAGGCCCUGCUUUUGUGGGGUGCUCGAGUGGCGAACGGGUGAGUAACACGUGAGUAACCUGCCCUUGACUUUGGGAUAACUUCAGGAAACUGGGGCUAAUACCGGCUAGGAGCUCCUGCUGCAUGGUGGGGGUUGGAAAGUUUCGGCGGUUGGGGUUGGACUCGCGGCUUAUCAGCUUGUUGGUGGGGUAGUGGCUUACCAAGGCUUUGACGGGUAGCCGGCCUGAGAGGGUGACCGGCCACAUUGGGACUGAGAUACGGCCCAGACUCCUACGGGAGGCAGCAGUGGGGAAUAUUGCACAAUGGGCGGAAGCCUGAUGCAGCAACGCCGCGUGCGGGAUGACGGCCUUCGGGUUGUAAACCGCUUUCGCCUGUGACGAAGCGUGAGUGACGGUAAUGGGUAAAGAAGCACCGGCUAACUACGUG
rnacentral:rRNA from 1 species